GAUGAACGCUGGCGGCGUGCCUAAUACAUGCAAGUCGAGCGAACAGACGAGGAGCUUGCUCCUCUGACGUUAGCGGCGGACGGGUGAGUAACACGUGGAUAACCUACCUAUAAGACUGGGAUAACUUCGGGAAACCGGAGCUAAUACCGGAUAAUAUAUUGAACCGCAUGGUUCAAUAGUGAAAGACGGUUUUGCUGUCACUUAUAGAUGGAUCCGCGCCGCAUUAGCUAGUUGGUAAGGUAACGGCUUACCAAGGCAACGAUGCGUAGCCGACCUGAGAGGGUGAUCGGCCACACUGGAACUGAGACACGGUCCAGACUCCUACGGGAGGCAGCAGUAGGGAAUCUUCGGCAAUGGGCGAAAGCCUGACGGAGCAACGCCGCGUGGGUGAUGAAGGUCUUCGGAUCGUAAAACUCUGUUAUUAGGGAAGAACAAAUGUGUAAGUAACUAUGCACGUCUUGACGGUACCUAAUCAGAAAGCCACGGCUAACUACGUG
rnacentral:rRNA from 1 species